UAGGGAAUAUUGGACAAUGGGUGAGAGCCUGAUCCAGCCAUGCCGCGUGCAGGAAGAAGGCGUUAUGCGUUGUAAACUGCUUUUGCCAGGGGAUAAAAAGACCGUGCGCGGUUAAUUGAAGGUACCUGGUGAAUAAGCCACGGCUAACUACGUGCCAGCAGCCGCGGUAAUACGUAGGUGGCAAGCGUUGUCCGGAUUUAUUGGGUUUAAAGGGUGCGUAGGUGGCCCUGUAAGUCAGUGGUGAAAUAUCUCAGCUUAACUGAGAGGGUGCCAUUGAUACUGCAGGGCUUGAGUACAGAUGAGGUAGGCGGAAUUGACGGUGUAGCGGUGAAAUGCGUAGAUAUCAAGAGGAACACCUGAGGUGAAGACGGGUUGCUGGGCUGACACUGACGCUGAGGCGCGAAAAGCCAGGGGAGCAAACGGGAUUAGAUACCCCAGUAGUCCCUGAGCGGGCUGGCAAGGCGCAU
rnacentral:rRNA from 1 species